rnacentral:ribozyme from 1 species
CAUAAAAUCCAUGCGAACAAGGUCCUCGCCUCGCUUCGAAAGCUUGAGGGCGGCAGCACCGCCGAAUCCACAUCGCCUGUCGAGAUUGGGGGGUUUCCCACUGGGCUGCCUCUAACGGACGUGGAGGUAAGGCGGAUGCAGCUAUUCGGAGAUCAUCACGA